rnacentral:tRNA from 1 species
GGCCGGUUGGCCCAAUGGCAAGGCGUCUGACUACGAUUCCACUUCCUCGUUUGUCUAACCACGAGCGAAAUAAGGACUAAGAAUCAGUCAUCAGGAGAUUCUGUGUUCGACCCCCAGGCUGGUCA